AGGAUGAACGCUAGCGGCAGGCCUAAUACAUGCAAGUCGAACGGUGGUAGCAAUAUCAUAGUGGCGCACGGGUGCGUAACACGUAACUAACCUACCUAUAACUGGGGGAUAGCCCGCCGAAAGGCGGAUUAAUACCGCAUAAGCUGUUGAGGUGGCAUCACCUUAUUAGUAAAGAUUUAUUGGUUAUAGAUGGGGUUGCGGGUCAUUAGCUAGUUGGUAGGGUAACGGCUUACCAAGGCGACGAUGACUA
rnacentral:rRNA from 1 species